AUUAGCCCGUAUUUACGUUUUAAAUGAAGCAUUUUGAUUUUAAAGCGAGCUAUACAAUGCCCGUGCAAAUGUGCACGUUUAUGCUCGAACAACAACCUAAUUACGUAUGCUAAAAUCCGGACCGGAACUGAAAUUGCAGUUCCAAAUUGAGUUAUUUAUCAGUACUACUUUAUCAGUAUUUUUGGAAGCUCAACCAACUAAAUACUCCAUGCAUGUUGAAACCAGGACCUCCACUUCCCCCUUCCUGGUAUCCAAGUCAACGCUGCCUACAGCGUCUAGUUUAUUGAUGACUCAGAUGAGUGGAGCAACGGAAAAAACCUUUUCGUGUUGAAGCAGCAGCAGCAUCUCCAUCCCACACACAGAAAACCAAGAAUCACACACCAUCAACAUCAGCAUCAGCAUCGGCAUCAACACCAAAGCUUUUCAUAAAGCACAACCAUGCAUUUCAAAAAGGUUCCAUCUGGUGUUGGAAAGAGUCAGUGUUUGAUGGACCCCGCUAGACACCUUUCACUAUACAGUAUACUAUUCAAUGGCCACAGAAAAAGUGACAGUUUCAUAUUAUGUCCAACCAAGAGAAAAUGAACAUAUUCGCUUGGUCCAACGAUACACAUCUGAUCACCUACCUAUUGAUACAAGCCUUCAAACAUUAAUGAACACAGAUAAAGAAUAACUUGUACAAAAAAAGAUAUUGCAUUUUAUAAUGCUACAUCAACACAUGUAAAACCUUGAUGGGCACUCAAACAAAAUAUCCAGCAGAAUCAAAUAAUAGGAAAAUCUUGGACAAAAAUUUGGGAUUUUGUUCUUCUUGCUUCGCUCUUACUUCUAUCAUUUGCUCUCCAAUACCAAAUGCGGUCUACUAGGACCAGCAAAGGGAGUAAAGGGAGUGGAUUGAACAACAGUUAAAUGUAAGUAUAUCAUUCCAUUUUUCAUAAUAGAAAGCUAUAGAAGCAAAUAGAUAAGAGAAGCACUUACUGGAGGAGUUGUUCAGAAUUUGGUUUGGGAUCACUUGUUAUUGUUGUUAUGGUUAGGGUGAUACACUACAAGUGUUUUUGAUCUUUCUAGUUUUCCUCAACAGAGAGUUUGUAAAUUCUGUUUGAAAGUUUAAUAAAAAAAUAUUAACUUUG